AUGAGCAGUGAGACCGAGACCCAGCAGCAGCCCGCCGCCCCCGCCCUCAGCGCUGCUGACACUGAGACCCGCACCAACGGCAACGGCACCGGGAGCGGCAGCCUGGGCAUCGGCGGCGCCUGCCGGCGGGGACAAAAAGAUCAUCGCAACGAAGGUUUUAGGAACAGUAAAAUGUUUCAAUGUAAGGAACGGAUACGGUUUCAUCAACGGGAAUGACACCAAGGAAGAUGUAUUUUUGUACAGCAGACUGCCAUAAAGAAGAAUAAGCCCAGGAAGUACCUUCGCAGUGUAGGAGAUGGAGAGACUGUGGAGUUGGAUGUUGUUGAAGGAGAAAAGGGUGCAGAGGCAGCAAAUGUUACAAGUCCUGGUGGCGUUCCAGUUUGAGGCAGUAAAUAUGCAGCAGACUGUAACCAUUAUCCACGUAAUAGGGAUCCUCCACACAAUUACCAGCAGAAUUACCAGAACAGUGAGAGGGGGAAAAGAAUGAGGGACCAGAGAGUGCUCCCGAAAGGCCAAGCCCAACGACGCCGGCCCUAUCGCAGACGAUACAUGCGGAGACCCUAUGGGCGCCCACUACAGUAUUCCAACCCUCCAGUGCAGGGAGAAGUGAUGGAGGGGGCUGACAACCAGGUGCCGGAGAACAAGCUCCACCAGUGAGGUGGACUAUCUAUCAGGGCUAUAGACCACGAUUCCGCAGAGGCCUUCCUCACCAAAAACAGCCUGACUCUAGAUAAGGAAAAUCAAGGAGAUGAGACCCAAGGUCAGCAGCCACCUCAACCUCGGUACCACAACUUCAAUUACCGACGCAGAUGCUCGGGAACCCUAAACCUCAAGAUGGCAAAGAGACAACAGCAGCCAAGAAUUCCUCUGCUCCCGAGGCUGAGCAGGGUGGGGCUGAGUAA